rnacentral:rRNA from 1 species
ACGCUGAAGCACCAGCUUGCUGGUGUGGAUGAGUGGCGAACGGGUGAGUAAUACGUGAGUAACCUGCCCUUGACUCUGGGAUAAGCCCGGGAAACUGGGUCUAAUACUGGAUGCUACAUGUCACCGCAUGGUGGUGUGUGGAAAGGGUUUACUGGUCUUGGAUGGGCUCACGGCCUAUCAGCUUGUUGGUGAGGUAAUGGCUCACCAAGGCGACGACGGGUAGCCGGCCUGAGAGGGUGACCGGCCACACUGGGACUGAGACACGGCCCAGACUCCUACGGGAGGCAGCAGUGGGGAAUAUUGCACAAUGGGCGAAAGCCUGAUGCAGCGACGCCGCGUGAGGGAUGACGGCCUUCGGGUUGUAAACCUCUUUCAGCAGGGAAGAAGCCACAAGUGACGGUACCUGCAGAAGAAGCGCCGGCUAACUACGUGCCAGCAGCCGCGGUAAUACGUAGGGCGCAAGCGUUGUCCGGAAUUAUUGGGCGUAAAGAGCUCGUAGGCGGUUUGUCGCGUCUGCUGUGAAAGCCCGGGGCUUAACCCCGGGUGUGCAGUGGGUACGGGCAGACUAGAGUGCAGUAGGGGAGACUGGAAUUCCUGGUGUAGCGGUGGAAUGCGCAGAUAUCAGGAGGAACACCGAUGGCGAAGGCAGGUCUCUGGGCUGUUACUGACGCUGAGGAGCGAAAGCAUGGGGAGCGAACAGGAUUAGAUACCCUGGUAGUCCAUGCCGUAAACGUUGGGCACUAGGUGUGGGGGACAUUCCACGUUUUCCGCGCCGUAGCUAACGCAUUAAGUGCCCCGCCUGGGGAGUACGGCCGCAAGGCUAAAACUCAAAGGAAUUGACGGGGGCCCGCACAAGCGGCGGAGCAUGCGGAU